AUUGAACGCUGGCGGCAGGCCUAACACAUGCAAGUCGAACGAGUGGCGGACGGGUGAGUAAUGUCUGGGAAACUGCCCGAUGGAGGGGGAUAACUCCUGGAAACGGUAGCUAAUACCGCAUACCAUCGGAUGUGCCCAGAUGGGAUUAGCUAGUAGGUGGGGUAACGGCUUACCUAGGCCACGAUCCCUAGCUGGUCUGAGAGGAUGACCGGCCACACUGGAACUGAGACACGGUCCAGACUCCUACGGGAGGCAGCAGUGGGGAAUAUUGCGCAAUGGGCGCAAGCCUGAUGCAGCCAUGCCGCGUGUAUGAAGAAGGCCUUCGGGUUGUAAAGUACUUUCAUCGGGGAAGCGUUACUCGAAGAAGAAGCACCGGCUAACUACGUGCCAGCAGCCGCGGUAAUUC
rnacentral:rRNA from 1 species